AUAAAACCUGCGACCCGAUCCGGAAGGGCGGGUCGUGUUAUAAACCGGAUUCUUUGAUACGACAUGCGAGCUUUGCGUUUAGCUCGUACUGGGCCCAGUUUAAGAAGGUUGGUGGAACCUGUUACUUCAAUGGCCUUGCUACUCAGACCAUCCAGGAUCCAAGCUAUGGAAAGUGCAAGUUCCCGAGUGUGACACUGCAAGGAUGACGACGUGAUUGCCAAAUAUUUAGUUAUAUUUUCGUUUAUAAUAAAAUUUUAAUUUCAUUGUUGAAUUAGGAGGGUGGUUUGGGCAUCCCAUUUCCAUUUUUACAAAAAAGAAAAUUAACAAGGGGCUGAUUUGCAAAAAUAACCUAAUUAAAUGGAGCUUGAAGGUUUAGAAAAAAAAAACAGAAAGAAAAGAAAAGGGCUGGUUUUUAUUAUUUUGGAAAAGUGGAUUAUUUUAUUUUGUUGGGAGUGGGGUGGAAUGAAAUGGGCGCCCAAAUCACUUUGCCAAUUUUUUGAUGUAUCAUUUGACUAAUUCCACUCUCUCUUUGGUGCACUGUCUAUUUCA